AGAUACUUUCACUCCUGUUCUCUGACGAAAAGGGAACAGAACCUCCCUGCCAUGCUUUUUCUGUGCUCUCCCAGAUUGUGUGGACCAGGCCAGGCUGGAGGAGAAGAGGCUGAGGGAUGAGGAGAGAGCAGAGAGGGAGGUCCAGGCUGGGAGUGCUGCUGCUGUAUCCAUCCAGGAAUUGCUGCAGAGGAUCAUCAGCCCCGGCCACGACAUCCUCUACUACACAGGGGGCAUCAGGCUCCUGGCAGAAGUUGUGAGCAGUUGCACUGGGCAAACGUUCUUCAGGACAAACAAUGGCUUCAGUAUCCUCAGGAACAAGGCUGUCAGAGGGUGAGAGCUCUCCAGAGGGGGACUCCAGCCUGGGGAAAUGGGAAUAUUGUUUUCGAGAAACAGAAUCACCUCUUGAAAUGCAGAUGAACUGAUCAGAGGAGGAUGUAAUCCCAGAUUUUAGUGCCUGAAUGGGGGGAUUUAUGCCUGACUCUGAGACAAACAGUGCUGCCUUAGAUGCGGGGAGGAGAAUCCGUGGCUUGCUGUUUGUGUCUGCUCUUUCUGGGCAGUUAUCCUAUCCCUGGUGGUGAGAGCAGGAAAAAUCCGAGUAGCAAAGAACAUCUGAAGGCUCUGGCUGCACCCUCUGGUGCUAGGGGUGGGCACCAGUGAAUAUUUGGGUGUUCCUGGCACUUUCUAGGGUUCAUCCUAAAUUGGGUGGUGGCUGCAGACAGAGCCGAGGGGUGAAGCACGUGCAAAUUCCCACUCCUGGGUAUUUCCCAGUGCUUUGAUCCAUCCUUUGCUCUGUUCACAAGCUGACUUUUCUCAUUCAGGGCCUUCUGUGCAGAGGAAAAAAGCCCUGCUGAGGUGGAGCUCUGUGUUUCCCUUCUCCUGCUGUGGCGAGCUGCCUGCGCUGGGAAUGAAGAAAAUCAGCGUCUCCUGUUGGCCCAGCCCGAAGUGAGUGCCCAGCUGCCAGAGCUGCUCUCCUCUGGCCCAGCCCAGAUCCAGAGGGAGACCUUGGCACUGAUCUCUCUCUACUCAGAGCACCAAAGUGGCCGGAGGCUGCUGGUCAGGCAGGACCUGAGCAGAUGGCUGCAGAUUUUGAUGGCAUUUGUCAAGUGCACUGAUGCAAGG
rnacentral:lncRNA from 1 species